rnacentral:lncRNA from 1 species
UCCCUCACAGGAGCUCAGUGAGAUGCUGUACACGGACCGGCCUGACUGGCAGAGCGUGAUGCAGUAUGUGGCCCAGAUCUACAAGUACUUUGAGACAUAAACAGACCCACUAACUGCCGCUUGACCUCAAGUUAGUCCUGGACGCACCUGCUCCCUGUUCAUCAUACCUGGUUUGCCCACCACCUAGCCAUCUGGAUUUCCAAGGGAGGCUCAAACCAAGUGGGCCAACCCUCCAUCGAGAAGCAGCGCUGGCUCCACCAUGUCCCCACCAUGCAGAUCAGAGGCAAACGUGUCUGGAGCCUAUGCUCAGGAAUCCUCCCCAGUGGGAGGUUUCUAGAGAGAGAGGCCCCACUCCUUACACACUGGGUCCCCAAACCCAGGCCCUCUUCUGUGAGAUUCCAGUGUUGCCAGUCCCAUUUGUGGCCCACCCACACAUGGUCCACAUGCUGACAAACAGCUUCACUUACCAUGUCUCUUCUCCUUCCUUUUUCCUAAAACUGCCCUGGCUUUGCUUCAGUCAACUCUAUCCUUACCAACUGCCCACCCCACAAAUAAAGCAACACCCUACAGAACAGAAUAACAAAAGCAGCUUUUGCUUCCUAGACACCUAGAAACACUGAUUAGGGAAAUAGAUUGCUGAGCUCUGUGUAACUGAGGACUUAAUUACAUUGCAUAGGUCUCACCCUUCCUGUUCGGUUCCUCAUGUGUGCAAAGGAGCCCUUGGGUGCCUUGCUGAUGGUCCACGGGAGGCCAGCCGGCGUGCACAUGAACCACACAGCCUGAGUACAGACUGGUGUCCUGGCUGAUGGAACCAUGACCACAUCACCUUCUGUCCCACUAUUUACAGUCCUGUUCACUCACACAUCUGCCUAACACGUGGGACUCAAAGAAGUCACUUAUGUGUGUGAAGCAGCCUGUGCUGGUGAGCUCCUUGCACAUUUGCACAGUUCUACAGGGUGGGAAGACAGAAAUAUAAACAGUGUUUUAGCUGCAAACAGAGUUGCCGGAUAGAAGAAGCUAUGAGGAACAGUCACACUUUCCCCUUUACUCUGCUGGCUCCCUGAGGAGUAGCGUGACCCUCCCUGAGUACUCAGGCUCCCGGGCUCUAGAGUCUAGAGGCUCUUUGCCGUUUUCCUGGACAAAUAAAUGUGCACUUCAUAGCAAAUGAGGGUGCUCCUUCCUCAGUCAGCUGGGCGUGCACAAACACCCAUUAUUGUUCUAAUUGCCAAAUAGCCCUGUGCUGGUCCUUGGAGAAAGGACCGUGUUCACGGCAACCCUUGAGAAUGAUCGCCAUAGUUCUUGUGAAUUUCUGCCUGCUUAUCUGAGCCACCUGCUGGCCCAGUCUGUAUCCUGUAUCCUUGGUGGACCUGGGUUCUGUCCCUCCCUCCAGUCCAUCCCUCUGAUGAGUGGCAGCUGGGUGCAGCAGCACUGAUUCUCAAACUAUAGUAGCCUCUUGGGGCCACAGACUCCACAUUCAGGCUCUAUCUGUAGUUCUUGGCUGUGGCUCCAUCCAGUUCCCCCUGGGACUCCUAGGAACUGCAUGCCUGACCCUCCAAUCAGGUGAGUCAGAAUAACUGGAAUGGAGCAGAGAUGGAGUCUAUAGGCUCUCACAGUUCUCCAGAACUGAGGGACAGCUAUGCAGAGGGGUAGGACACUUACCCUAACCUCCUGUGCUCCCCACAGGAGCUACAGAGCAGUAAUUUUGGAACCACCAUCUGCUAUAAAAUGGGACCCCUUCAUCUCUAGGUGGAAGUCUAGGGCUCAGAACCUC